UGAGUAACCUGCCCCUGGCUUUGGGAUAACCAUCGGAAACGGUGGCUAAUACCGAAUAUUCACUUCUUCCCGCAUGGGUUUUUGUGGAAAGUUUUUCGGCUGGGGAUGGGCUCGUGGCCUAUCAGCUUGUUGGUGGGGUGAUGGCCUACCAAGGCUUUGACGGGUAGCCGGCCUGAGAGGGCGACCGGCCACACUGGGACUGAGACACGGCCCAGACUCCUACGGGAGGCAG
rnacentral:rRNA from 1 species